AGAUUAGAUUGCAGUAUGCUUACUAUUGUGGUAUCCAUGGCAUACACAGUAUACAAGACUCAUGGUAUGUGAUGGGACACUUCUAGUUAACAAUCAAGUUAGCAAGAUAUAUUUGAGACUGAGAAAAUUAGUUUUCAAUAGCUGUCUUCUUAAGAGACAGUGAUAUAGUUUUGUAUUUUCCAUAACUACAACAACAUGUUUGUUAAUUACCCUGAAUCUCUACAGGAUCCAAAUUCUAGAAUAAGGGUGGGGGUGCUGAUCCUAGUAAGGUUAUUUCUGUAAGUGUCCAGAAGAUUCUGGAAAUCCAUUUCCAGGUAAGUAUGAUUAUCUGCUUAAAUCAAAGGCCUCUAAUUCUUAACAAUCUACACUGAGUUUUAUGAUACAAAGCAUUUAACUGGGAACACUUGAAGUUGUAAAUCUGUAUGGGAUCCAUGGAAAACUAAUUCCUGUAGCUACAAACAUGUUCACUUCAUCUCAGGGAAGAAGGGCCAGAAUAACCCACGCACAUUUGCUUUCCAGAGUGAUUUACCAUGAAUAACCUACGCACAUUUGCUUUCCAGAGUGAUUUACCAUUUUGUCAUUACCAUGAACUCCUGCUCCUUUAGAAAUGCAACUUUAUGCUCACACAAAUAGCACAUUAUGCUACUGGGAUACUGUAGUUUUAUCUAUCUGUCUGUCUCUUUUUGCAGUACUAGGGAUUGAAUCCAGGGAUACUCUACUACUGAACUACAUUGCCAGCCCUUGUUAAAUUUUAUUUUGACACAGAGUCUUGCUUAAUUGCUGAGACUGGCCUCAUACUUGCAAUCCUCCUGCCCCAGCCUCCUGAGUAGCAGGGAUAACAGGUCUGUGCCACUACCAUGCCUGGCUAUAUGUUAAUAGUUUUAGAAGAAACCAAAGGAUGGAAGAUAUCUGGGGAUGUAGCUCAAUGGUAGAGCACUUGCCUAGCAUGAGCAAGGUCCUGGGUUCAAUGCCCAGCACUGGGGGGAGGGGGGGAAGCAAGGAAACAAAAACAUUGAUUUCAGAACUCAAUCUUCUUUCAAACCCUAAUGAUUUGGCCAAGCAAUGAUUUUUUUUUUUUGUAAAUACUGUAAAUCUUGAUAUGCUUUUACUUUAAGCAAGGGAGGAGUUGUAUUGACAUUUGGACAUGGUAGAUAUUUUUGACCUCAAUCCCCAAGAUGAUUUCUUACUGAAGCUGCUUUAGCCUUUAAAUGCCUUUCCCAUUGAUCACAUUUUUAGUUUACCAUUAGCAACAGGAAAAUAUUUCACUGCAGUUUUCAACAUGUAUUAGGUCGAGUAUCAUAUGCAAAGAGAAAAUCAAGUUAUCAUGGGGCUACCAUGUACCAAGAUACAUGUGUUAUUUCAAUUAUUCCCUAUGUCAUGCAAUAAAUUGCAUUAUCUUCAUUUUACAGACUAAGAAACAGAUAUAAAAUGAUUAAGUUAUAUUGCAAAAAUCACACACCUAGUAAUUGACUGAGACAAAACUGGAAAACGAGUCAGCCUAACUUUAAAACAUGUAUAAUGUAUUUAGUCAUGUAUUUAUUUGUCCCAAUGCAGCAGCUAUUGAAAAAAAGAAAUGUCUUAUAUCACAUUGUUG
rnacentral:lncRNA from 1 species